CCCUGCCAGGGUUUUCGCCAAUUUGUAUCGGUUAAAUUUUGCAAUCCAAGAAAAGUAGUUCUCUAGGAAUUCUCUGGAUUGUUCUAGAUCGAAAAUGUGAAUUUUUAUGAUCGGUGAUGAUUCUGAUUGAUUUGGCUUCUGUUGUUCUUUUAGAGUGGAGGUUAGUAAGUGAAUAUAAUGCCGGGGACACCAGCAACACCUUCGGCUAAGCUGCAAAGGACUCCGUGUUCCGCUCCGGGUGGUUCAAAAGUCAGUGAGGAGAAAAUUUUGGUUACUGUUCGUUUGAGGCCGCUGAACAGGCGAGAGCAGGUAAUGUAUGAUGUUAUAGCUUGGGACUGCUUGGAUGAGCACACUAUAGUUUUCAAAGAAUCCGAAUCAUGAGCGGCCUUCAAACCCGUACGCCUUUGUUCGCUGCUGAAUUCUGUCAACCGCGCAGAGGUUUCGAUGUGUGAAAAUAAUUUGAUAUAAGGUUUUUGGCCUGAUGUGCUCAACUCAGAAGGUUUACGAGGAAGGAGCCAAGGAUGUUGCUUUAUCUGCACUCACAGGAAUGAACGACUAGUAGUGGUAAGACAUUUACCACAAGAGGAAUCACCGAAAAUGCAGUGAGGGGCAUCUUCAAACACAUCAAGAAUGCACGUCAUAGUUCAUACCAUGACCAUAUAGCCUUUGGAAUCCUCUCGUAGACGCCAGAAAGGGAUUUUUGUUUUGAAAUUUUCUGCUUUGGAUAUCUACAAUGAAACUGUUGUUGAUCUUCUGAAACGCAAAUCUGGCUCACUUCGGCUUUUGGAUGACUCUGAGAAGGGCACCAUAGUUGACAAGCCACAGGAAGAAAUUGUUGAGAAGUUGGCGAACAUUUGAGGCACUUAAUUGAAAUUUGUGAAGGUAAUGUGUUAGUUUAAACUAUAACUCAAGUAAUAAUACUUCAUUUAGAUCGCUUAUUAAUACAAUGGUAGACAGAUAAAUUAGCUUUGUAGCAAGAGUUUGUAUACAAGGCCAAUUUGUUGUCUUCCACACAGGAUACAUAAAAUCUCAGAGCUGAUCCUGUGUAUAUAUAUAAAUGUAUAUGUAUACAUCUUCAUAUAUGUGUCAUUAACAAGAUUAAAAAAUAGAUGGGCUCUUGAAUGUUGAGAGUUCGCAAAUUUGGUUGAGGCAGAAACACAAACAGUUCGUAGGCAUGGUGAAAACGGGCAGUAAAGAAACGGUUUUUACUAAAUGAAAGCUCAUAGCUUGCGAAAAGAAGGAAAAAAAAUGGCGAGAAACCUGAAACGGAAUCGACGAAAUCUCCAUCGAUGAACAGCUGGGUAAACUUUAUUGUGCGAAUCUUGAUGAAGGAAGCUGAGCUGCCGUUGUCUCUCUCUGUUUGUUUGUGUGGAAAAAGAUGAGAUUUUGUUGUGUUUGUUUCGUGUAUGGGAGGAUGAGCUGGGUUUAAUUAUGAGGUGACACGUCAAUUUUAAUUUGCAAUUUUUGUUCACUUUCACUCAUCAAGUAAUUAUUCACAUCAAAGAUUGCAAGGAAAUUGGAAUUCGA